CGGCUCUUCCGGAUAGUUCACUCGACGGAUCUCUCUUCUUCUAUUCUCUGGAACCCUAACCCUAACCCUAAUCUUCAUCGUCCUACAAAAAUGUCUCAUUUUGGAAGGUCAGGUCCUCCAGAUAUUACAGACACCUACUCGCUUCUCGUGCUCAACAUCACCUUCCGCACCACUGCUGAUGACCUCUACCCGCUUUUCCACAAGUAUGGUAAGGUUGUCGAUAUCUUCAUCCCCAGAGAUCGAAGGACUGGUGAUUCUAGAGGUUUUGCAUUUGUGCGUUACAAGUACGCAGAUGAAGCUCAGAAAGCAGUGGACAGGCUAGAUGGCACUGUGGUUGAUGGACGAGAGAUAACUGUCCAGUUUGCUAAAUAUGGUCCAAAUGCUGAAAAGAUUCAGAAAGGAAAAAUCAGCGAACCAUUUCCAAAGUCAAGACACAGGUCUAGAAGUCGUAGUCCACGGAGACGAUAUCGGGAUGAUUACAGAGAUAGGGACUAUAGGAGGAGAAGCAGAAGUAGAAGCAGAAGCUUGGACAGGAGUGAUCGUGAUAGGCGGGGGAGAGAAAGAGAGAGGGAAAGAGACUAUCGCAGGCGGAGCAGGAGCAUCAGUCCCAGGCGGCCUAGUCCUGAUUACUCCAAGGGGAGGGGAAGAGGACGCUAUGUAGAUGAACGUAGAAAUCGCAGUCGCAGCCAUAGCCGAAGUCGUGGCCGUAGUCGUUCUGUUAAUAGUGCUUCUCCUGGUAGACGAAGCCCUAGUCCUCGAAGGAGUCUGUCUCCUCGAAGGAGUCUUUCACCACGAAGGAGUCUUUCACCUCAAAGGAGUCUUUCACCUCGAAGGAGUCCAUCUCCAAGGGGUGAAAGUCCUGAAAGAAAUGGUGAUGGUGGAAGGUCUCCAACUCCUAGGAGUGUUUCACCACGAGGUCAACCUGCUGAUUCACGAAGCCCAUCUCCACAAAACUCGGAUGUCGAUAAGUGAAUACUGAUGGAUGCAAGGAGAACUGUGGACAUAACCGAGCAGUGCAGGAGUGAAUGCUCUGAGGACACUCGAUUAAAAAUGUUGACUAUAAGUUCUAGUUUUGUUAUGUUCGGGAUAAGAUUGAAUGGCGCCUGAUUGGCGGAUGUUGAUUUUGUGGCUGUUGAUGCUGUUUCUAUGUCAUAGAUGGGUGAUCGUGACUUUGAUGCUGGUUGCAGCAGUUUGCUGAUUUAUCAGUAUGAUUGUCUAUGCAGUAUGAUGUUGCUGUGGACAGUGUCUUUACUAAUAUUCACUGGAUGAUAAUAUAUCGGUAAGGUUUAUGGUCACGUUUAAAUGUUUUUAGAAACUCAAUUAUGCUUUAGGGUUUGAUAUUUGACCUGAUUAAUCCAUCUGGCCUAUCCAAAUUUUGUAAUGUUUCGCCUCACCUGCAAGGAGAUCUAGAGGGCCUUGAUAUAUAGGUUUGACCCCACCUAUGUUGAUCAAUUUUUAUACUCGGCUGAUGAUGCAUUUGAGAGGUACUGAUAUUAAUGGCGAAGGCUGGUUUAAGAAAACUUAGCUGCAGGUUUGAACUUCGCAUCAGAACAUGAGUAGCCAUGGUAAACAUAAGUUUAUAGUUUUGUGUAUUGUUUGAAGGGGUGGAUUUAAACUUACAGGUUAUUAUCCCAAACUUUUAGAUCAAUCUCUUGCUGCUUGAUGUGCUGACUGACUUAUUGUAGUUUUUGGGAUACACAUUGUUGCUGUGGUGUUUGAUAGCAGAUACCUCGAUUGAUGUACGAUAGACAUUGGCUUGACUGAUUGAUUCUGUAGCGGCCUGUUGCUGCCCUUGAGGGGUGAGGCUGGCAAUGAUGUUUGCAGUUGCUUUGACAUUGCUUGCAUUGAUGUUUGCUUAUAAAGUUCUGCAUGUAAAAUUGUAUACCUCACGUCUAAAAGAAAAUUUAUUUAAUAAAAAUUCUACCAUUAGUUUGCAACAUUCAACGCCAGUGCACGUGUACAGUUUUGUGAGGGUUGGUCAGAUUGCUAUUUGUUUGGUUUAUGCUGCUUUUUUCUGCAACUACUUGCUUUUGGGUCGAAAAAUAUUGCCCGUCUGAUUUUGUCUAUUGCUUUUUGUGUGUUCUCUAAAGUGAUAUUUUGAAUGCCUCACUUGGCAGUAAGGCUUAUAUAACCAAAAUUGUCAGUAUUUUGUUGAGUAUUCGUCCAAGUUUUGUUUUUUCUCCUAACAAAAUGAGAAAUACUAGCAAAUAUCGUGCAUUUAUUCCCAAAUGCCUGUACACAUGCACAUAUGUAUAUAUUCCCUUCAGUUUGUCCUACGUAGGACAUUUUCUUGCUAGUGAAGUGGUAAGUCUUUUCUUUUCUUUUUUUUGCUUUUUCCUUUUUCUCCUAGAAAUGAACUUUUAAGACAUGUGGUUCAGGGGCUUGGUGACAACAGGUAAGCACUGAGGUCCUGAUGGAUAUGCCAUGUAGCAAAGCGAGCUGGAUAUGUAAAUAACAAUGAUAAGUUUGAUUGUGCUCGCCUUCUUGGAUGAACAUGAUGGUGGUGAUUGAGCAAAACAACAUAUGAGAGAGGAUCAAAAGUUUGAGCAAAGGAAGGAGUUUGAUUCUUUUUCGUUGUCUCGUUAUCCUCUUCGAAUGAUUUGCUAGCCUAAUGCUACAACUCUCGAGUCGAUUAAGCGUCGGAGAGAAUUAAAUGAGGUAUGAGAGCAUGUGAGUUGAUUGUUAAUUUUGUUAUGUAAUUACACACUCUCAUGAAUC